CAAAAACAUCGCCUCCUGCAAAAAUCAAUGUAUAGGAGGUCCUACCUGCCCAGUGACUGUUAGUUUAACGGCCGCGGUAUUUUGACCGUGCUAAGGUAGCGCAAUCACUUGUCUUUUAAAUGAAGACCCGUAUGAAUGGUAUAACGAGGGCUUAACUGUCUCCCUUCUCUAGUCAAUGAAAUUGAUCUACCCGUGCAGAAGCGGGUAUAAAAAUACAAGACGAGAAGACCCUCUGGAGCUUCAGACAAAAAGCCAACCGUGUUAAGAGCCCCUAAUGAAAAUAGGCCAAACAAAACAGCAUACUGGCUUAAUGUCUUCGGUUGGGGCGACCGCGGGGGAAAACAAAGCCCCCAUGUGGACUGGAAAUACUCCUAAAACCAAGAGAUACAUCUCUAAGUCACAGAACAUCUGACCUAAAGAUCCGGCUUAUAAGCCGAUCAACGAACCAAGUUACCCUAGGGAUAACAGCGCAAUCCUCUUCAAGAGUUCAUAUCGACAAGAGGGUUUACGACCUCGAUGUUGGAUCAGGACAUCCUAAUGGUGCAGCCGCUAUUAAGGGUUCGUUUGUUCAACGAUUAAAGUCCUACGUGAUCUGA
rnacentral:rRNA from 1 species